UUUAUUUAGAUAAAAAGCCAAGUUUCAUGCUUUUACAGUAUGAAAAUUGGUGAUUUAUAAUAACUUAGCAAAUCGCAAAGUGAAAACAGGCGAUAAAUCAUUCAAGUUUCUGACCUAUCAGCUUUCGACGGUAUGGUAUUGGCUUACCGUGGCAGUGACGGUUAACGGGGGAUUAGGGUUCGAUUCCGGAGAGGGAGCCUGAGAAACGGCUACCACAUCUAAGGAAGGCAGCAGGCGCGCAAAUUACCCAAUUCUAACAGUUUGAGAGAGGUAGUAACAAGAAAUAACAAUACAAGGCAGUUAAAAUGCUUUGUAAUUGGAAUGAUAGAAAUUUAAACCCUUUUUAAAGUAUCAAUUGGAGGGCAAGUCUGGUGCCAGCAGCCGCGGUAAUUCCAGCUCCAAUAGCGUAUAUUAAAAUUGUUGCAGUUAAAAAGCUCGUAGUUGAAGUUCUGCUGAAAGUAACCGGUCUGCUUUUAAUAAAAGUGGUAUCUUGGUAUGUAUUUAGCAAUGAUGUCCUUUGAAGUGUUUUUUACUUUAUUGUAAUAAAGCAUAUUCAGGACUUUUACUUUGAGAAAAUUAGAGUGUUUCUAGCAGGCCAACGCUUUGAAUACUGCAGCAUGGGAAUAAUAAAGAA
rnacentral:rRNA from 1 species